UACGGGGGGGGCAAGCGUUGUUCGGAAUUACUGGGCGUAAAGGGCUCGUAGGCGGCCAACUAAGUCAGACGUGAAAUCCCUCGGCUUAACCGGGGAACUGCGUCUGAUACUGGAUGGCUUGAGGUUGGGAGAGGGAUGCGGAAUUCCAGGUGUAGCGGUGAAAUGCGUAGAUAUCGGGAGGAACACCUGUGGCGAAAGCGGCGCACUGGACCAUAACUGACGCUGAGGCGCGAAAGCUAGGGGAGCAAACAGG
rnacentral:rRNA from 1 species